rnacentral:rRNA from 1 species
UACGUAGGGUGCAAGCGUUAAUCGGAAUUACUGGGCGUAAAGCGUGCGCAGGCGGUUGUGCAAGUCAGAUGUGAAAUCCCCGGGCUUAACCUGGGAACUGCAUUUGUGACUGCACAGCUGGAGUGCGGCAGAGGGGGAUGGAAUUCCGCGUGUAGCAGUGAAAUGCGUAGAUAUGCGGAGGAACACCGGUGGCGAAGGCGGGUCUCUGGGCAACAACUGACGCUGAGGAGCGAAAGCGUGGGGAGCGAACAGG